AGACAAAGUUGACAAGAUUCAAAAGUGGUUUGGGUAAAAGAGACUCAAUCCUAGAGGGGCAUUUGAUUCCAAAAGGGAAGAAGACGUACUUCAUCUGGAACAUCGUGAAGUCACAGAAGAACUUCACAAGUGUUCCGAUCGGAAGGGAGCCCUUUGAGUAAGUGAAAUGAAGCGUGAAUAACUGCCUAAUUAGUGGACAUGAAAACUGGACAGUCUCCAAAGUCAUCAGAGAUGACCACGCUUGCCAGGCAACUUACUAGACUAAGGGCACACAAUGAGCCUCACGUAAGCAUCAGGUACUACAUUUAGGAAGAGAGAUGGUGUGAGGAUGCAGUGGCCAGAAGAGGCAGCCCAGGGAAGAUCUGAGGUGAACCCUCUGGUUGGAAAGCCUUGGCAAAUUGGAGGAAUGAAAAGAAAAAAGAGUAAAUCUACAACAAGGAUCAGCAAACUCCAGUCUACAGGCCAAAUCC
rnacentral:lncRNA from 10 species